GACGAACGCUGGCGGCGUGCUUAACACAUGCAAGUCGAGCGGUAAGGCCCUUUCGGGGCUACACGAGCGGCGAACGGGUGAGUAACACGUGGGUGACCUGCCCUCAGCUCUGGGAUAAGCCUGGGAAACCGGGUCUAAUACUGGAUAUGACUCCAUGACGCAUGUUGUGGGGUGAAAGCCUUGUGCGGCUGAGGAUGGGCCCGCGGCCUAUCAGCUUGUUGGNGGGGUAGUGG
rnacentral:rRNA from 1 species